rnacentral:rRNA from 1 species
CAAUAGCGUAUAUUUAAGUUGCUGCAGUUAAAAAGCUCGUAGUUGGAUUUCGGGUGGGAAUGGCCGGUCCGCCGUUUCGGUGUGCACUUGCUACGCCCACCUUGCUGCCGGGGACGUGCUCUUGAGUUCACGCUCGGGACACGGAGUCGGCGAGGUUACUUUGAGUAAAUUAGAGUGUUCAAAGCAGGCCUACGCUCUGAAUACAUUAGCAUGGAAUAACACGAUAGGACUCUGGCCUAUCUUGUUGGUCUGUAGGACCGGAGUAAUGAUUAAGAGGGACAGUCGGGGGCACUCGUAUUUCAUUGUCAGAGGUGAAAUUCUUGGAUUUAUGAAAGACGGACUACUGCGAAAGCAUUUGCCAAGGAUGUUUUCAUUAA